UACGUAGGUGGCAAGCGUUGUCCGGAUUUACUGGGUGUAAAGGGCGUGCAGCCGGGCCGACAAGUCAGAUGUGAAAUCCGCGGGCUUAACCCGCGAACUGCAUUUGAAACUAUUGGUCUUGAGUACCGGAGAGGUCAUCGGAACUCCUUGUGUAGCGGUGAAAUGCGUAGAUAUAAGGAAGAACACCAGUGGCGAAGGCGGAUGACUGGACGGCAACUGACGGUGAGGCGCGAAAGCGUGGGGAGCAAACAGG
rnacentral:rRNA from 1 species